rnacentral:tRNA from 1 species
GCCGAAGUGGUGGAAUGGUAUACACGCAUGACUUAAAAUCAUGUCCCGUAAGGGAUGAGGGUUCGAGUCCCUCCUUCGGCA